CUGUCUUUUAGGAUUUGAUACCAUUGAAAAGAUUACUGCUUCUGCGGUAUUGACAUAAUAUUACAUUAUAUGACUAUAUAGACUAUGUACCAAAAAUAUAUCAGAAACGAUCCAUAGAAUUAUGCAGCGAAUAUUUACCGAUAAUUUAUUAAAAAAUUAUUCAUAUAUUGGUUUUAAUGGGAAACAAAAUUUUUCAAAAACAGAAAGCCGUAAGUUAUUUUGUGAUAAUUAAAUAUUAUAUAAUUAUGUAUAAUUUGUAUACUUGGAUAUAUAUGAUAUUAUAUUAUUUUCUAAAUAGUUAUGGUAAUUAACUGAUAGGAAAAAAAAUGGAUCAAAAGAAUAUUGAUUUAAAGUCUAUAUUUUGCAAAUUAUGAUUUUACUUUUUUCAUAAACAUAUGCCGUAUUAUUUAUUUUAAGGUAUAAUAAGUUGAAUCAUCUCAACACAUUGACGGACACUUGUAAUAUAAUUUUUACUGUUAUAUUAGUAAUGCUAUACCUGCAUCCAAAAUCUAUGCAAUUCGUCAUUGUGGACUGCCGUAAUGUGGCAGUCCAAUUUCUUCUAUGAUUUAAUACCAUUGAAAAGAUCAAUGCUUCAGUAGUAUUGACUGAAUAUGAUAUUUUGAAUAUUACUGCUACAGCAGUAAUAUACAUUAAUGUGUUAAAAUAAUAGUAUAAUAUAAUGUUUAACGUACGUAAUAACAUUAUUACAUUUUUAAAUAAUUAGAUGCAAUUAGAGAUAUGAAAACAUUUACAAAUGUACCUGAUGCAAAAAUAAACGAUGGGAUAAAAAGUUGGCUGACUCAAGUUUAUAAUAGGCUUAUAAAAAAAGGAAAAGCCAAUUCAAC